UCCACUGGGCCGUGGCGUGCGAGGUGCCCUCGUACGGGCCCUGGUAGGCGCUGGGCACGCCGCCCUGCUGGUUCGGGUCCGGCCAGUGGAUC
rnacentral:tRNA from 1 species